AACGAACGCUGGCGGCAUGCCUAACACAUGCAAGUCGAACGAGACCUUCGGGUCUAGUGGCGCACGGGUGCGUAACGCGUGGGAACCUGCCCUUAGGUUCGGAAUAACUCCCCGAAAGGGGUGCUAAUACCGGAUAAUGUCUUCGGACCAAAGAUUUAUCGCCUUUGGAUGGGCCCGCGUUGGAUUAGCUAGUUGGUAGGGUAAAAGCCUACCAAGGCGACGAUCCAUAGCUGGUCUGAGGGGAUGAUCAGCCACACUGGGACUGAGACACGGCCCAGACUCCUACGGGAGGCAGCAGUGGGGAAUAUUGGACAAUGGGCGAAAGCCUGAUCCAGCAAUGCCGCGUGAGUGAUGAAGGCCUUAGGGUUGUAAAGCCCUUUUACCCGGGAUGAUAAUGACAGUACCGGGAGAAUAAGCUCCGGCUAACUCCGUG
rnacentral:rRNA from 1 species